UUNACCUGGCUCAGGAUGAACGCUGGCGGCGUGCUUAACACAUGCAAGUCGAACGAACCUUCGGGUUAGUGGCGGACGGGUGAGUAACGCGUGAGAAUCUGCCCUCAGGAGGGGGAUAACGGCUGGAAACGGCCGCUAAUACCCCAUAUGCCGAGAGGUGAAAUGAAUUUCGCCUGAGGAUGAGCUCGCGUCUGAUUAGCUAGUUGGUGUGGUAAAGGCUCACCAAGGCAUCGAUCAGUAGCUGGUCUGAGAGGAUGAUCAGCCACACUGGGACUGAGACACGGCCCAGACUCCUACGGGAGGCAGCAGUGGGGAAUUUUCCGCAAUGGGCGCAAGCCUGACGGAGCAACGCCGCGUGAGGGAUGAAGGCCUCUGGGCUGUAAACCUCUUUUAUCAAGGAAGAAGAUCUGACGGUACUUGAUGAAUAAGCCACGGCUAAUUCCGUGCCAGCAGCCGCGGUAAUACGGGAGUGGCAAGCGUUAUCCGGAAUUAUUGGGCGUAAAGCGUCCGCAGGCGGUUUUACAAGUCUGUCGUUAAAACGUGGAGCUCAACUCCAUUUCGGCGAUGGAAACUGUAAGACUAGAGUGUGGUAGGGGCAGAGGGAAUUCCCGGUGUAGCGGUGAAAUGCGUAGAUAUCGGGAAGAACACCAGUGGCGAAGGCGCUCUGCUGGGCCAUAACUGACGCUCAUGGACGAAAGCUAGGGGAGCGAAAGGGAUUAGAUACCCCUGUAGUCCUAGCCGUAAACGAUGAACACUAGGUGUCGGGGGAAUCGACCCCCUCGGUGUCGUAKCCAACGCGUUAAGUGUUCCGCCUGGGGAGUACGCACGCAAGUGUGAAACUCAAAGGAAUUGACGGGGGGCCCGCACAAGCGGUGGAGUAUGUGGUUUAAUUCGAUGCAACGCGAAGAACCUUACCAGGGUUUGACAUCCUGCGAAUCCCUUGGAAACUUGGGAGUGCCUUCGGGAGCGCAGAGACAGGUGGUGCAUGGCUGUCGUCAGCUCGUGUCGUGAGAUGUUGGGUUAAGUCCCGCAACGAGCGCAACCCACGUCUUUAGUUGCCAGCAUUCAGUUGGGCACUCUAGAGAGACCGCCGGUGAUAAACCGGAGGAAGGUGUGGAUGACGUCAAGUCAUCAUGCCCCUUACAUCCUGGGCUACACACGUACUACAAUGCUACGGACAAAGGGCAGCAAACUCGCGAGAGCUAGCAAAUCCCAUAAACCGUGGCUCAGUUCAGAUCGUAGGCUGCAACUCGCCUACGUGAAGGAGGAAUCGCUAGUAAUCGCAGGUCAGCAUACUGCGGUGAAUACGUUCCCGGGCCUUGUACACACCGCCCGUCACACCAUGGAAGUUGGCCACGCCCGAAGUCGUUACUCCAACCCUUGUGGAGGAGGAUGCCGAAGGUGGGGCUGAUGACUGGGGUGAAGUCGUAACAAGGUAGCCGUACCGGAAGGUGCGGCUGGAUCACCUCCUAACAGGGAUACAAUAACUAAUUGUGAUGUCUGAGUAAUUUAUUCUCAGGCCAUGAUUCUGUCAUCUCUAAGGUCGAUCGGUACCUCAAUUUG
rnacentral:rRNA from 1 species